GUUUUUCCUUCUCUAGGACGUUGUUUAUGUUUACAGUCUAUGGUUUUGGACUAAAAGUAAUACAAUACAUUUGGGAAAGUCGUUUAACAGUGAGAUGACAAAUUGUUGCCACUGUGCUUAUUUGAAAUGUUGUGCACAAAUUUUCAUCUUAAUGUUCUCUGGUUUUAAAGAAAUGCUGUGGCGAUCUCAUCAUGUUGUGUAAUUAAAUAACCUCUGCUCUCUCUGCAGGCCAUGUUAGGGUUGUAUAUUGCUGUUUCCUUUUUUGUAUUUGGUUCAUCUUCUGCUCUUGAGAAUAAAGCGCUGUGCUUUGGUGGAAGACUCUCCAUACCGUUUGAAUACACACCGCUCCUUUUCAGUGGACAGUUGUACUUCACUCCGAGUGAUGGGGGACCCACAACUCUAUUGAUGGAUAACGGGGAGACCCACGGCUUAAACAAAACUUCAUCACUUCUUAUUUGAACGAUUUGACGGAAAGAGAUGAUGGGAUUUCUUCUGUCUCAUCCAAUGAGAAUAGGCGUCUUGAUAUCAUCAAACUGGAGGUUUUGGAUUGUGCAGUCGAUGUCAGCACAGCUUACGGAAAUUGGUAUUACCUUGACGUUCUUCGGCAGGCUGAAAUCCUGGAGUUCACUUCCCAGUCCCAGUCCCAGUUACUCCCUACCAAAGGUCUGGUGGAGCCGCACAGACCCUCGGACCACCAAGAGAGGCAGAGGACAGAAGAAGUGUGAUUUCUGGGAGAUCAUCAAACUCACUCAGAAGGACAGUGGCUUCUACAAUGUCAGGGGAAAAGAUGGGUCUUUGCUGUCCAGGACUUUGCUCAAAGUAGAAGCGGACUCUAUAAGCUAUAAAAGAAGUGAAGGCGAGGACCUCAUCAUCAGAUAUCCUUCAACCAAAUCCUCUUGGACUGUAACUGUGACUAAACCCGGGGAAGACACCGAAUACUUAAUUUUGAUCAAAGCAGGCAAUCUGCUCACUGACAAUAGUAAUUCUGGAAUACCAGGAAUAUGACGGGAGGGUUCAGAUUUUGCAUGACGGCAUAGAAAUCAGGUCUUUGCGAAUCAUGGACUCUGGCGUUCUUGGGUUUAGAGACGAGGAAAGCUACUUGGCCCUGACCGUUCAUCUGAAUGUGCAGGCUGCAUCUAUUCCUACAUUUGUUAUUGUUUCCGUUAUUGCGGAAUCGUCUUUGUGGGGAUUCUCUGCUUCUGCUGCAUGAGAAAACGAGGUUGUAAAAAGAGCGCUCCUAAAAGGGACGAGGCUGCAGCGGCACCUCCAGUGUAUUACCAUGAUAAGACUCAUCUUUCAAGCUCGAGUUACCGUGCUGCACCUGCGCCAAAACCCUCUUAUGAGCCAAUGAACCCCAGUGAGCCAGCAGCUUCAUCAUCUGGGACACCGGCUGCGCCUCUGCGAGAUCAAGGGGACACUCCAGCUCCUACUUUCGGCUCUGAUUGUCUCUCCUCUGACCGUGAGCUGAGGUAUGAGCAGAAAGGACUGACCAUUCUCUCUGCUCCGACCCUCAGUUCAGACUCAACUUUCGCUGCUGUUUAUACCUCAGACAAACUCAACUUUUAGUAAGAAACGUCAUUCACAUUGGACAGAUGAGGUGUUGUUUAUUGUGACCAGCUGGAACACAGCCUUAGCUGCCUUUGAUUGGACAGUGACAUAUACACACGUUAGAAAAUAAGUCGCAUUCGGAGGGCUGGUGGCGCAGCGGUUUGUGCACACCUCCCAUGUAUGGAAGCUGUAAUCUUCCAAGCAAGGCGGCCCAGGUUCAAAUCCGACCUGUGGCUCCUCUCCUGCAUGUUGUUCCACACUCUCU